GCUCAAUAGACACUUAAUUCGCACUGUUGCAAAAAUUUUGAAAACUUAAUGAAGGGCUACUUCAUAAAUUUCCCUUGGUUUUGUUAGGUGGGAGGGUGUGCUGUCAUUUUUAUCCUUAUGAACUUAUGUUUGUUUGUGUUCUUCUCAUGGUUUUAUUUUAGCUUCCUCAAGAUAUUGAAUGACAUUCCAUUGGGCAUUUGUAGAGCAACAAAGUUAAAUCGCUUAUUGGUACAGUCCCUUCCUUGUUCUAUUCUUUCAUUGGUUUAUUACAGUCUUCUUGUUUGUAAUUUCUGCUUUAGUGGAGUCUUCCUAAGGAUUGGUUGUUUUCUUGAUUCUUUAUAAUGUUUUGAAAAUCUUCGUUUCCAAACUUUGAAAGUUGUGUCUAAUUGGUGCUUAAAUUCUAUAACAUGUCUAAUAGUUUCUUAAAUUUAUAAUUGUGUUGACUGAAUUCCAAUUUUGUAUUCAAAAUCUCUAUAUGUUCAUUGAAAGCUUUUACUUUAUCCAGAGGUGGAGGAAAGUGAAGGUGAAGUCUUCUUCUUUUUGCUCAAACAUGCAUCCAUUAUCUUUUUAGUUUUAAAUUUUGGAUGAAUAUGUGGUUUUUGGUUACUGAGGUCAUGAUAGAAGUUGAAGAUUAUGAUAGAAGGUUACGAUAGAAGUUGAAGAUUAUGAUAGAAGUUGAAGAUUUUACGAUAAGAGUAUGUAGAGAAGAAGCAGCGGCAAAUUUUUGUGAGUUGCUUAGAAUGUUUUAUAAUGCAAUGUCCUUCAUGAAAAUAGAGGUUAUGGUCUUAAACUCCCUUCCUUUAUUGUAUAUAUUUAUUUCUCUGUGUUUACCUAAUUCAUCAAUUUUGUUGUUAUUUCUCUGUUUACAAGGUUGACAUCCCACAUUCUUUUCCAAAUAGAAUUUUUUUUUAUAAUUUGAAACGUUUGGUGUUGAAAACAAGGACGACCAAGGAGGUGAUAGAUUUGCCAAUAAGUAUAUUGGUGUUCUUAAAAAUAUGCCUCAAUUUAGAAUCAUGGGCUGUCCAUAAUGAGGUGAUUUGUUUUCUGAAGAAUUAAGAUAUAUGAAAUACCUUAGCUUUUAUGUUUCGUUCUUUUAAUGAGAAGAACUAAUUAGAUUGCUUAUUUCAUGAAUUUUAUAUAGAUACUUAGGUAGUGGCAAUAUAUAUAAAUGCAAUGACGAAAAGCCUAAAGAAAUGUUAAAAAUGCUCCAUAAAGAAAUAUGAAAAAAGAGUACUAAUAAUCGAAGUAUUAGGAUCUAUUACAUUAUUAAAAGUACACAAACUAAAAGUCUAAUAAGAUUUUGAACUUGAACUUACUUGUUGAUGGUACAGUUCAGUAUGUGUAUAUCCAAACUAGUGACAAGAAAUAUUCAUUAUGUGAGGUUUUCUCAAUUCUCGACUAUUUGUCAAAGAAAAUAAACUACUACACAAUUGUGCUAUUUACCAUAUUUGUCUUGUAGGAACUAAGGGCGACAUUCAACUUUGGUUAGAAUGGUGAGCUUAUUUCUUAUUUCAGGAUAGUUCAUAUACUAAAUUUGAUGUUUAUAUGGUUGGUUAGAUGAGUUUCAAAUUUCAAAAGUCUACCUAAAUCUCUAUUGUUUGUUUAGCUUAAAGGUAUAAAAGUGUAAAGUCUGUGGACUUGCACUGAAUAGAGCCAUGGUAAGUUUCUAAUUUCAAAAGUCUACUAUAAGCUCUAUUGUUUGUUGAUGGAUUUUAAUGGAAUUUUGAAGGUUUUAGAAGAGAUGUACUGGGGAACCUAGCUUUCUAAAGCAUGGAGGAUCUAAUAUGGAACCUGGUUCUAGUGGAGCCAACAAAGUUUAUGAAAUUUCCUUCAAAGAAGCUAAUCAGAGGUGAAGGAUUACCGAUUGUUUGUUUAUGCUUGUACAAAAAAUCAUGUUAUAUGUAUUAUGAUAAUAUUUACACUGGUUUUGAUUAAGGGUUGUAAUUACAUGCUUGUAAAUUGUUCAAACUUAAUUAGAAAUAUACAAAUAUUACAAAGUGUAUUGUAGCGUAUAUAUAUUAAAGUGUCGACCAUUUGUUUC